UUUAUAGGGGACAUUGUUGUCAACCAAAGGGUUGAUAAAAAUAGUCAGUAGAACUUAAACCAUCGGAUAAGCAACAUUGGAAAACAUACUGAGCCUUCAGCAGCAUUCAUACAUUAUGUUAGAUAUCAAAAUCUUUCAUUUAUGCAAAAAAAAAGUUAUCAUUCAAAAUAUUACAGAACAAUAUCUAACGUCUUCAGUUAAUCGGCAGACUUCAAAAUUUCGAAAAGUAUUCGCCGUCACAAGAGGACGAUAAAUUUACUAAUGUUUUUUUCAGAUGAUUGUAGUAUGUCUAUUUUUAUAAAUAUGCAUAAAGAUAUUAUUGAAGGACGUUGUAGGCUGAGUAGGAAAGUUUGAUCAGCUAGAAUAAAAACAGAAGUACUGGCGAGACAAGUACCAAAAAUUUGUGAAAGCAGGCACAUAAAAUAACCUGCCAUUGAAGCGAAUUCUGGAUCACUUAUUUCCACCUGAGAUAAUCUAUAAAUUGUUACACAUAUGACAUAGCUAAUCUAAAUAAAAAAUAUUCAACAAAUGAAAAAAAUUCAACACAUUAGUUUUUAUAGCAAUUUUAGAUCAUCCGCAGUUAUCCCAAUCUAAUCUUGCUUAUGUAUAACGUCUUGGAAUAUAAGUAUAGACCUAACUGAAAUAUUUUUAGAUGAUGUUUUACACAUUCCAUAGCUGCAUUUAUUUCUC